GACGAACGCUGGCGGCGUGCUUAACACAUGCAAGUCGAACGGAAAGGCCCUGCUUUUGUGGGGUGCUCGAGUGGCGAACGGGUGAGUAACACGUGAGUAACCUGCCCUUGACUUUGGGAUAACUUCAGGAAACUGGGGCUAAUACCGGAUAGGAGCUCCUGCUGCAUGGUGGGGGUUGGUAAGUUUCGGCGGUUGGGGAUGGACUCGAGGCUUAUCAGCUUGUUGGUGGGGUAGUGGCUUACCAAGGCUUUGACGGGUAGCCGGCCUGAGCGGGUGACCGGCCACAUUGGGACUGAGAUACGGCCCAGACUCCUACGGGAGGCAGCAGUGGGGAAUAUUGCACAAUGGGCGGAAGCCUGAUGCAGCAACGCCGCGUGCGGGAUGACGGCCUUCGGGUUGUAAACCGCUUUCGCCUGUGACGAAGCGUGAGUGACGGUAAUGGGUAAAGAAGCACCGGCUAACUACGUG
rnacentral:rRNA from 1 species